rnacentral:lncRNA from 1 species
AAAUAAAUUGAUCACUAUCCUCCGUGACGAUCCAUUGAUCGAAAGUAUUUAGAAAUUAACCACUAAUUAAUAUAUAUCUCAAAUUCUUAACUCUUUAAGAAUAUACAAAAAUCAUCUUUGUUAAUUUUUAGGAUAAAUCAUGAACACAUAUACAUGAUUGGAAUAAAAAAAUCUUUUAUUGAUAAUAAAAUAAUUAUAAGUAUAAGUUUAGACUC